rnacentral:rRNA from 1 species
UCAGGGGGUGAAAUCCCACAGCUCAACUGUGGAACUGCCUUUGAUACUGUCAGUCUAGAGUAUAGUUGAAGUUGGCGGAAUGUGUCAUGUAGCGGUGAAAUGCUUAGAUAUGACACAGAACACCGAUCGCGAAGGCAGCUAGCUAAGCUAUAACUGACGCUCAUGCACGAAAGCGUGGGGAUCAAACAGGAUUAGAUACCCUGGUAGUCCACGCUGUAAACGAUGAUUACUCGGUGUUGGCGAUACACAGUCAGCGUCUGAGCGAAAGCAAUAAGUAAUCCACCUGGGGAGUACGAUCGCAAGAUUGAAACUCAAAGGAAUUGACGGGGGCCCGCACAAGCGGAGGAGCAUGUGGUUUAAUUCGAUGAUACGCGAGGAACCUUACCUGGGCUCGAACGUAAGAUGACUGUAGGUGAAAGCUUACACCUCUUCGGAGCAUUUUACGAGGUGCUGCAUGGUUGUCGUCAGCUCGUGCCGUGAGGUGUCGGGUUAAGUCCCAUAACGAGCGCAACCCCUACCUUUAGUUGCCAUCAGGUCAUGCUGGGGACUCUAAAGGAACUGCCUACGCAAGUAGUGAGGAAGGCGGGGAUGACGUCAAAUCAGCACGGCCCUUACGUCCAGGGCUACACACGUGCUACAAUGGCCGAUACAGAGGGCAGCUACCUGGUGACAGGAUGCAAAUCUCCAAAGUCGGUCUCAGUUCGGAUCGGAGUCUGCAACCCGACUCCGUGAAGUUGGAUUCGCUAGUAAUCGCGCAUCAGCCAUGGCGCGGUGAAUACGUUCCCGGGCCUUGUACACACCGCCCGUCAAGCCAUGGAAGCUGGGGGGACCUAAAGUCGAUAACCGCAAGGAGUCGCCUAGGGUAAAACCAGUGACUGGGGCUAAGUCGUAACAAGGUAGCCG